AAUAGAUACCCCGGUAGUCCACGCCGUAAACGAUGAGUGCUAAGUGUUAGAGGGUUUCCGCCCUUUAGUGCUGCAGCUAACGCAUUAAGCACUCCGCCUGGGGAGUACGGCCGCAAGGCUGAAACUCAAAGGAAUUGACGGGGGCCCGCACAAGCGGUGGAGCAUGUGGUUUAAUUCGAAGCAACGCGAAGAACCUUACCAGGUCUUGACAUCCUCUGACAACCCUAGAGAUAGGGCUUUCUCCUUCGGGGGACAGAGUGACAGGUGGUGCAUGGUUGUCGUCAGCUCGUAUCGUGAGAUGUUGGGUUAAGUCCCGCAACGAGCGCAACCCUUGAUCUUAGUUGCCAGCAUUCAGUUGGGCACUCUAAGGUGACUGCCGGUGACAAACCGGAGGAAGGUGGGGAUGACGUCAAAUCAUCAUGCCCCUUAUGACCUGGGCUACACACGUGCUACAAUGGAUGGUACAAAGGGCUGCAACCUGUGAAGGUAAGCGAAUCCCAUAAAGCCAUUCUCAGUUCGGAUUGCAGG
rnacentral:rRNA from 1 species